rnacentral:misc_RNA from 1 species
CAGGUGAGUACGCCGGCGCCUGCAGAAACAUUUGGAUACUCACAAGUCCAUCACACCGGAUUCCGCUGGUCCCACGCCACUCCAUUCCUCUCUCACGCGAUAGGAAGUAUGCCAGACGGAGACAUUCUGUUUGCGAAUGUGGUCUUCAUGGCGCAGGGGAGGGCGCGUUUCCGUUGAGUUGCGAUGAGCUUCUCAUGUAUGGUCAAGCCUCGCCACGGCCUCGCGUUUGCGGAACUCGACAACGAUUACGCCGGCCACCGAUCGCACCCCGUGAGCGUCGUAGACUUGGGGGAAAAGCGGACGCUCUGCGCACAUGGAGAUGCUGACUGCGGAUGACGCGAUCGUCAUGCCGCUGAGGGAGGGGGCGCAGGUGCCGGCGGCGUGCAUUCAUCGCUUCAAGGGCCCCGCUCUCGGCAGAUUCACGGAAGCCGCCCGCGCCGUGGGAUAAACGCCGUGCAGCUCGCAGAGCACACGGGGUGGCACCUCCACAGAGUGUUUGGAGCGUGGCAACGCGUGCGCAGCUUCGCAGGCACGAACGAUCUUCGGAUGGGCCCCGCACACGGCGCCCCUGUCCAUCCACCGUGUGACCGUGUCGUGUUGUGCCAAGCACACCUAUGCUCGGAACAUCCCUGGUGCUCUGCGGAGGCUGAGCCCGCCAGCCGCUGGGACGAGAUACCGCGGCCGAAGCCCCGGAGUGGCCUGCACAUUGCGCUCGACGAGGUAGCGUUACGCUUCUGGGCGGUGGCCAAGACGCGUAGGGCCAAGCUCUUCUCUCCGCAGCGCUUGUGCGUCUUGCGUGGCGACGGCGCUGCGGACCCAGCUGAGCGGCUGCGGGAGGCCGUGCGAGAAGAAAAGAUGGGCGAGAAGCCGCUGCUCUGCACGCACCCCCCCCCUGGUCUGCGCUACUCGGCUACCGUACGGCCCGCUACGCUGGGCAGAGACUGCUUGUUUGCAUGCCAUUCGGAGGCUGGCGCGUUGGCGUGCCUCCUGUCUCGGACAAGCCACCACCAGCGCCACUCCAUGCCAGCCGGGUAGCGGCCCUGGGUGUCGCGGCCGUGUGUGCAGCGCUGCUGCAGGGGCGAAGACACAGGGCGGAGGAGCUGCAGGGGCUGAUUUGCACUUGGCUGCGCGGCCUGCCCACCUCACAAAAUGCUGCAAGCCCACACCGCUGAGUCGUAGGCUCCGGCCUUCUCCGUCCCGGAUGAGGCGCAUCAUCAGAUCAGAAGACAGCAUGGCAGGCCUAGGGGGUAGCGUGUGGCUUGACUCAUGCCGCAUGGAAGCAAAAUGAGCAUCUUGGAAGGAAAAAGAGUCCCUGCCGUGUCGCCCUUUACAGUUUGAUCCCCUCUGUCUAUCGUGUUAUACUCUGCUGGUGGCUAGAUGUGUCGCGUUGCUUGUGUGUGCCGUUGGUCAUUGUCUUCACCUGCCCACAAGGGAAGAACGGCACCUCAAUGUUUUCCUGCACCCAUGCCUUCCUCCGUCUCUUUUGGCAUCAGUGCUGAUGCGCAGUGCGUAUGCGUGUGAGGAUUUCCCUGCUUUGCACGAGAGGGGAUGCUGAUGCGUGUGCAUGUGCACACGCAUCAGCGCGGGAAGUCUUUUUUUUUUGCUUUGCUUCUUCCCUUUUCUCCCCUGUGCGUCAUCUCGUCUGUUCCUUCCUCACGUUGCUGGUUCUCCGGGCAUGUCUUUCGCCCCUCUGCGCCUCGAAUUCGUCCACGCCCCUCACGGAGCGGCGCUUGCCAUCGCUGAUGCUCUCUCGUGAGCGAUUUCAAGCUCCAUCGGGCAUGGGCGUCUUUGCUUGAACACGGAGACAAGCACUCAUGCCAUCAGCUAUGGUAUAUAUGCGAGGUGCAUCGGUGUUCCCCUGGUGUCUGUUUUCUUCUUUGUACUCUUAUCACAGGACGGCGAACGAGUGUUUUGUUAUGGAGUAGCCUGGCACACCAGUCAAGCGCACCCGACACGUACAUCAAAUGCAGACAUCAUUGGAGAUGCUCAACGUUCACAUGCAGCUGCAUGUGCGCACCGAGUGUGGGCAUUUCGGCUGUGCGCUACAGCCAUCGCGCCCCACGCCACGUCCGUGCCUUGGAUGUAUACGAAUGAGAGGCUCUGUCUGAAUGCGGCGCUGCUCGCAUUCCCUCCACCCCCACCACCACCCCGUUUCUUCUCUCUUCGCUUUAUCGCUUGCAACGGCCCUCUCCUUCGCCGCGCUGCUGGCGUCCAUAAAAUUCAG